ensembl:lncRNA LINC02347 long intergenic non-protein coding RNA 2347
GAAACUGAUUAGAGCCAAGAUAGCCAACCAAAUGACUUCAGGAAGACCUCAGGCUUCAUUAUCAUCUCAUUUCCAUGCUAAAAAAACCCAGCUCCCUAGAACAAUGGGAAAUAUUGGGCACUUCAUCAGGCGAGUUCAGGUGCAUUUCUAGAGAUUGUCCAGGUGCUGGUAACAAUAAUAGAGAACCAUCCAUAUCCACAAGAGGCAGAACCUCUUCCAGCAAAAUGGUGCUGCCUCACCCAAAGGUCUCAUCCGCUGAGCAGUGCCUCCUCCCGAUUCAGCACGUCCCUGGUGCCGACUUUCUGCACGUGUUCACUUUGAGGCUGCAUUGUGGGCCUGCAAGAAAUGCAAAGCUGGUUGAGGCUUUAUUCAAUUCAAAUUCAAGCUGUUAAAUCGAGGCUCUCAGACUCCUGCUGCCUGGCCAGUGGAGAAAUUAACUUUCACAUAUGGCUUUGGGAUUUCUCUCUGUCAUCCUGGUCGACGUGUUCUCUCAUUUUUCUGAAGUCUGGGACCUCAACACAGACAUCUGGGUGAAGGCCUUGACAGCAGCGCUGGUGCAAAAUGAAUUGUCACAUCACACCCAACGUUCUCAACCUUUAGAAUCUGAAAGUAAGAAAAACACCUCAAACAUUGAUUCUGAGUAAUCAGCACAGAUUUCUAAAAGAAACUUUAUGGGAUGCUGAGACAUGAAUAAAAACAACUUUAUUCCUUUGGAAAGGACAACCCACAUGCUAAGAAGAUGACACUACACGUUGUUAUAGCCCGAAAGGCCCUCUUUCCACAGGGGAGCAGUGAAAAGUAGAGGUUGCCCAUGUGGAUUCCCAAGUCAGAUAGAUGUGGAUUCAGAUCCCAGCUCUGCUGCUUGCUACCCAAGAGACCAUGGACUGUGGACUCUUUAGGUCUCAGGGUUUUUGUUUGUUGUCUGUUUUUCACUUCCAAAACCAGAAAAUGAGAAGAUAUUUUCCAUAAGAUGGCGGUGGAGAAGAGAACUUGAUGGACCUUGCUUGGACAAAAUGCCUUCACCGCUAACUCAGUCAGCUAUGGCGAUGGGUCAAGGACCUGGUGGUUUUACAGAGAAGACCCUUGGUCAAAUCUUUGUGAAUGAAGCAACCAUUCUGAUGUUCAAUAACAGGAAUGCACCAGUUUAUACCAAACUAUCUGUACUAUUGAGAACAGCAAAAAUAUCUGACCAAAAACACCAAAGAGUGACAUUUUAAAAGACAUCAAAGAACUCUCAAGGCUUCCAGAGUUGGAAAGAUCAAGAAAGAGAGAAUGCAACUUCAUUAAGACACAAAAAGGAACAGGAUACAGAAGUGGAGGCAGUUCAGCGAAAAAGAUGAGAAGAAGGAGAAUGUCCACAAAUAAAUUUCACUUAUAAAAGUUCAGAUAAAAA